AACGCGAAGAACCUUACCUACUCUUGACAUCCUUGGAAUCCUUUAGAAAUAAAGGAGUGCCUUCGGGAGCCAAGUGACAGGUGCUGCAUGGCUGUCGUCAGCUCGUGUCGUGAGAUGUUGGGUUAAGUCCCGUAACGAGCGCAACCCUCGCCCUUAGUUGCCAGCGGUUCGGCCGGGAACUCUAAGGGGACUGCCGGUGAUAAACCGGAGGAAGGCGGGGAUGAUGUCAAGUCAUCAUGGCCCUUACGAGUAGGGCUACACACGUGCUACAAUGGCCAGUACAAAGGGUUGCCAAACCGUGAGGUGGAGCUAAUCCCAUAAAACUGGUCGUAGUCCAGAUUGGAGUCUGCAACUCGACUCCAUGAAGUCGGAAUCGCUAGUAAUCGUGAAUCAGAAUGUCACGGUGAAUACGUUCCCGGGCCUUGUACACACCGUAGUAC
rnacentral:rRNA from 1 species